CUUUAAAAUUCCAUUAUUCCCUGGAUGAAUCAGACUACCUAGGAAAGUGCAGACUACCUGUAGUAACCAAAGCAGCAUGCUGCUGGGGAGCAGUCUAUGCAUCCAGGCAAGAGAACAUCCCUGCCACUGCGUUCCUGAGGAGAAGGAAGGGCUGAGCAUGGAUGCGAUGGACACGGCAGAGUGCAAGGCAAGGCAUGGGCUGCAGCACCGAGCAGCACUGGUUAGAGGUAGCAGCAUCCCUAUGGCUCUCAGUUGGUGUUGAAGUGUAACAGGAGGAGUUUGAGGACAUACAUGGAGGUACCAAACCCCAUGGGGAGCUGUGAUUUAGGGAUGAAAUGCCCUCUGCUUGCUGGAGGCUGCUCUGAGUGGGGUGGAGAGCUUCUGACAGCAGAUGUUGGGUGUUGUGCAACUCAGGGCAGUUAUUAGAUACAACACUCCUGUGUGCUCUGACUUGUUUGCUUUAGGGUUAGGCUUUUUAAUCCCACUGGUAUUUAUAUUGUUUUGCAAUGUUUUUAUUAUUACUCUGAAUCACUAUCCAGGGCUUGUGCUAAGCACAGCUUAAUCAAUGCAUUUAUUCCCCUUUGCUUUUCUCCCAUAAUAAGCAUCUUGAGGCUCCGAGAGCUGCUGCUGAGAGAAGCAAACUGCAAACUUCCCUUUCUUUGAUGCUGAAAUAUGCAGUGUUGUCCAUGGGGAAGGAGAUGGAGUAAGAGACUGCUGCUUGUUUCCUGUAUGCCUGGAGCAAAGGAGGAAAGAUGUGACAGAAGUAUGAGCAUAUACAUAAAAGGUUGUUCUUGUGAUUGACUUAGUACCUUCUGGGCAAAAUAAUACAUAAGCAAGGUAGCAAUUAGACAAAUGAGCCAUUCUUUUUGUAAAGUUGUUAUUACUAGCUUAUGUUUAACAUAUGCUCAAGUCUCCACGUCCCAUUAAGGACUGCUGGUUUUUGUGCUCUGCAAACAAGGUGGUGUAUACAUAGUGGGCAAGAUUAGGCUUAUUCCAGUCAGUUUUUGAUGAGUAAACAUUCUGAUGGUAUAUUUUAAUGAUGUGAGGGGAGAAACUAUCCCAUGAAAGGAUGUGAGCCAAGGGGAAAAGCAGCUCCUAAUGAGAUAUGAGCAGCUCUGAAACCACAGGGUUUCCCAUCUUAAGCUGAUGGAUUUGUCACUUCCUCCCUUGGCUCUUUCCCAAAUGUAGAUGCCAAGUGAAACAAAAACAAUAACUUCAUGGAUAAGGACAUUACUCAAAAAUUGCAAUGCAGAGCAUCAGGGAAGUAUUUCUAUGAAAAAAAAAAAGUCAAUAUAAGAUGUGAACAUCUCGCUUUCUAUGAAAGGAAAAUGUGUUAAAUAGUAAAAAUAAAGUGUGGCAUGUAAGGAACUUCUGUAGAAAU
rnacentral:lncRNA from 1 species